UCCCUAUCCGUCGUGGGCGUUGGAAGUUUGAGAGGAGCUGUCCUUAGUACGAGAGGACCGGGAUGGACACACCGCUGGUGUACCAGUUGUUCCGCCAGGAGCAUAGCUGGGUAGCUACGUGUGGAAAGGAUAAGUGCUGAAAGCAUCUAAGCAUGAAGCCCCCCUCAAGAUGAGACUUCCCAUCACUUCGAGUGAGUAAGAUCCCUCAGAGACGAUGAGGUUGAUAGGUCCGAGGUGGAAGCGUGGUGACACGUGGAGCUGACGGAUACUAAUCGAUCGAGGACUUAACUAA
rfam:Ornithinibacillus halophilus strain IBRC-M 10683 genome assembly, contig: Ga0104432_1043